rnacentral:lncRNA from 1 species
UUGAAAUUAAUAGACAAAGUUUCCGUAAUUGAUAGAGAUUCUGAAUUUAUAACUAAUUAAAAAUAUAUCCGAACUUAGGGCUUGUUUGGUUCAUCCAUUUUGGGUAUGGAAUGGAAAUCGAUUUGAUCAAAUUCGGUUAAUUUUGUUUGGUUCGCAUGAAUCGAUUUGGAAUUCCUAUUUCGGACUAGAAUGGGAAUGACCCAUUAGCUUUCAACUUGAUUUCGAUCUUCUAGCCCGGAUUGAGAUUUCAUUCCGGAAGCCCACUAAGUUCUCGAAGCCCAUGUGGCCAUCUCACCCUCCUUCUCUUCACCCCUUUCUCAUCAAAAAAAUAAAAACCUAUCCUCUCUCAAAACCCUAUCCCUAAUCCACAUCAAUAAAAGUUUUUAAAAAUAAAUUUGAUAUUUUUUUGAAAAACUUAUUAGAGAAUAGUAUUAUAUUUUUCAUAAAUUUUAAAUAAUAUAAAUUUAUAUUUGAGAGUAAAAUUAGUAUUAUAGUAUUCUACAAUUUUUUUAGUUUAUACGAACCAAACAAUAAAAUGUGAAUAAUUCAUUCCAAUUCUGAAUCCACAAAUAAACCAAACGUCUUUGGGGAGUGGGCCAUUCCAAUUAUCAUUCCAAUUUAUUCCCAUUCCGUUAUCCAUUCCAAUUCCACCCUUGAACCAAACAAGCCCUUAGUGUUAGGUUCCGAUCAUUAGGUCGGAGAUUGAAAUUUUUAUAUAAGCUUAAAUUUAGAGCUUGUACUGCAGAUUUUAUAUAAAUGAAUAUCUCACUAUAAUUUGGUUCACGCCAUAAAGAUUAUCUGAAUGAAAGAAAUUUCAAGAGGUUGAUUUUUAGUCAUCCUAAUAAAAAUGUGCCCUUAUAUAUAGUGUUUGAUUUACAUAAUCAUAUUAUUUAAGAUUUCAAAAGUAUAAAAUGGAUGUAUUUAUUUUGUUAAUUAAUUUUAGGUAGUAAUAUCAGCAGUAAUGUGAACACUAUUUCCUUCUUCAGUAGAUAAUCAUAAGGAAUUAUUUUUAAGUUAAAUUUAGACACUACAAUAAAAACGGUGUAUAGCGAUAUUUUUAAAUGUCGGUACAGGUGAAAAAAAGGGUUGUUGGCUAAAUUACCGACAUUUUUUAAAAGUGUUACUAUAUGUGGGGUCGCCUCGAUAUUUGGCACCCACUCCUUCAGCGACCUUUGGCGGAGAAAUAUGUGGCGAUCAUAACUCUCUACGGUCCUUGCCAGAUUCUCACGGCCGAACUCCAGCCGCCGGAACCGUAGCUUACUAGCUGCGAUGACAGAGGAGGAGAAGGGGAGAUGGUGAUUAUUAUUAUUAUUAUUUUUUGUAAUCAGGCCGAGUGGGUUGGAUAGGGUUGGUUGAAUAGAGCAACUUUUUAUUUUUAAUUAGAUUAGGCUCUAUAUUGAGACCUAAAUAGAUUUUUUUAAAAAUAUUUUGGCAUAAAUAGAAUACUUAUACAAAGGUAUUUCAAAAAUGCAUCCCUAUAACUUAAUUAUGUUACAGUGAGAGAGGUUUAGUAGGGAAAAAGAGAGAUUUGAUCUUAAAAGGUAAAGAGAGUAGAGAUUAGAGAGGGGUGAGAUGUGGUUAGAGAGAGAGAGAGAGAUGAAAGUAGAGAGUAAAGGCAAUUUGACUGUGCAGUGGGUUAUGGAGAUGGAGAGAGAGAAAAAGAG